UUUUAAGUCCAAUCUGCCCAAUGAAAAAUUUUAAUGGCUGCAGUAUAAAUAACUGUACAAAGGUAGCAUAAUAAUUUGUUUUUUAAUUAAAAACUAGAAUAAAAGAUUUAAUGAAAUAUAAACUUUAUUAACUUUAAAAUUUUAAAUUAUUAUUUAAGUAAAAAAACUUAAAUUUAAUUAAUAGACGAUAAGACCCUAUAAAAUUUUAUUAUUUUCAUAAAAAAUAUUUUUUUAUAAAAUUAAAUUUUAUUUUUUUUUAUAAAUAAUUUUAUUGGGGUAAUAAAAAAAUUUAAAAAACUUUUUUAAAAAUAAACAUUUAUUUAUGAUAAAUUUAUCUUAAAUUUUAAAUUAUUAAAAUUAAUUACUUUAGGGAUAACAGCAUAA
rnacentral:rRNA from 1 species